rnacentral:lncRNA from 1 species
CAGUUGACCAUAGUGUUAAGACGUCAUCCGAUGACCAUGGUAUCUGCUAGAGUCAAGCUUCUUAACAAGACAUGGCCUAUUUUGUUUGCUUCUCCGGUUCUCCCAUUUCAAUUUCGUAUCUCCAUUAUGCAGGACAGAUACUCUGUUUCUUAGUUACCUUUCUGAUCUCAUGUUUUACUUUUAGAGCUCAUACCAUAUAUUUAAUCAACAUGUACAAGUAUAUCUUUUUUGACGUAAACUUGCCAGUUUUUAACAUAAGGCUAGACUGCGAGCCAUUUAUUUUGGUUACGUCAAUUACAAUUUACAAAAAAUACAAAUACUCUAUUCUCGAAAAAAAAAGAAAUACAUAUACUCAUGCACAUAUGCUAUGUCGGUAGUGCAAUUGGGCCCCUAUUUUCAUGUCAGUUGAAUGUAAAUAAUUCAGAAUUUGAUGAUUUCUUGUUAAAGCACCUAUAUGACAUAGUUCUUUUGGCCUGAACCUAAAUAACAGGGUUUGAUACUCCCCUUGUUUUGCAUUUUAAUGUUUUUCUGGUCAUAAUAUUCCAAGAACCAGAGGUGGCUGCGAAAAGGCUCUAGAUUCUCUAGUACGACAGUUUCAGGAUCACUUUCACCUCUUUAUAAUUUUGUAGUACAAGGAGCUUAUAGUAGGUUAUUGACUUAUUGUACAGAGUGGAAAGCAAAUGAUGGGUUAUUAUGAAAGCAAGUCCUUGUGUUUGAUGGUUAGGUCAAUUGUAAGUUUCAGAAUACAUUGAAAGAGUCUAAAGAGGGUUCACCUUUAAAAAAGAGUAAUCAUUCUGCUUUAUUGUGACUUCAGUAUAAUCAAAGGCGAGCAACCCUUUCCAUUAUUUUAAAUUCAAGCCGCAAGACAAUUUCGUUUCAGGUGUGUCAUUAUCAAUCAAACCAGAACAUGUGUCGCCCGUCGUAUACUAUGCCAUUAACAUGUUUUAGAAAGCUACCAGGUGCUUGCUUAAGCAGUUGUUCAUGUAACAUACUCGGAACAUGCAUCAAAUUUGAGAUGCUCAAGUUGUUUAUCCUAUAAACUUAAAGGAUGUUGGCAUGCAACAAACAUGAAGUAUAAAAUAUAUACAUAACAGUGAGUGCGCGCAGUUGCUCACACAUACAACUAUUGUCCACAUCACCUUGCAGCAUAAUUUUUUUUGCCUGCAGAUGCGAUUAUAUUUUGUGGUGCAAGUUAGUCAUACUUCCUGUCGUGAGGUGUUACUAGCUCAGCCUGUAGUCAAGCAUGACAAUCUAGAAAGCAGGGAUACUUCAUCUGGGUGAAGAACUGCGUAGGGGAUACUUGGGGGUGCGGGGGUGCGGCGGGGUGCGGCGGGAUACGCACGGGAUACGCCACGUGGCGUAUCGGUGGAGGCAGUGACGGGGAUACGCGGGGGUGCGGGGAUGGGGGUGCGGGAGUGGCACAAAUCGUAAUUUUUAACAACUUUUUUUUUAAAAAAAAAAAACUUAAAAUUAGUUGGUCAAAAUCAUUGAAUCACUUAUAUUGUAAUAGUUAUUUAUGUAUUUUAAUUGUCAAGACUUAAGGAUGACUAAUUUAGUUAUUCCACUAUUUUGUCCUACUUAAAUGCAUCUUAUGAAUUUUAUAUAUAUAUANUAUAUAUAUAUAUAUAUAUAUAUAUAUAUAUAUAUAGGCUCAUGAUCAAAUACAAACUACUCUUAAAAUAAAAACUAAAAACCACAUAUUUACCAAUACACCCACCCCCACCAGUUACCUUUCUCUAACUACAUAUACAUACAGACUUGCAUCCACGUCCCUCUUCUUUCACAUCUCUGUCCCUUUCUCUUUCUCAUCUCCCCUGCUACUCAUCAUCACGCGACCUUAUCAUAACAUUCCUUCCUUGCCGUAGCUGCCACCGUCCAUCAUCCACUAUUGUCACUGCGUCAUCACGCAUACUUCCUCUCUCUCCUCCCCAGAUACUUAAUUAAGCAUGAUUCUCUUAUAGUUAAUUGCUUUCUUCAUAUGUCGUUAUGUCUUGAAUAUUGAAGCCAUGAUUGCUAUUUCAUUUAGUGAAUAACUAAUCAGUAAAGUUGCUUAUUUAAUUACAUAAAUCGUGGUUACUACUGUAUUAGUUAGUGAUUUUCGCUUUGCAAAUUAGUGAUUUGUGCCGUACAAGUUAGUGAUUUUCGCUUUAGAAAUUAGUGAUAUGUGUUGCAAAAAAUGGUGAAAAUCUCCAGAAUUUACUGAAACCUUCAGAUCUGUGCUUGUUAGCCAUUCCGCUGAUAAUAACGAUGAUGGAGAUAGUGGAGGUGGUGGAUAUUGAAGGGCGAGAGCAUGGAGUGGGCGGGGCACGGAAGAGGAGGGUCGGUAGAGGAGGCAGGUGGCAGAGGAGGUGGCUGAGAUGGCGGAGGAGGGAGACACGGGCGGCUGAGAUGGCGGAGGAGGGAGACAAUUUGAUAAGGCUGUGGUUUUAGGCGGUGUAUUAUCACCGGAGCUGUGGAAUACAAUUGGGGUUGCAAUUGAAAGAUGGCGGUGGAGGUGAAGGAAGCGGAGGAGAGGAGGCGGCAGUGGUGGAGGUGAAGGAGGCGGUGGCGGAGAUGGAGGUGGGUGAAGAUGGAGAUGGUUGGGAAGAUGAAGAGGGAGGUGUAGAUAUUAGUGAUAUGUGCUUUAAAAUUUAGUGAUAUUUGAGGUGGGUUUUUAGUUUGUAGAAUAAGGAGGUUUGUAUUAGAGUAAAACUCUAUAUAUAUAUAUAUAUAUAUAUAAUAUAUUUAAUAUUUUAAUAUUUGCCGUAUCCCCCCGCACCCGUAUCCCCAUAUUUUGGAAUUUGACGAAUUCCCGUAUCCACGUACCGCGCACCCACACCCCCGCACCCGCACUCAUGCUUCCUAGAUGACAAUUAUUACCAUAGAUAUGCAUUGGUCUUGUGGUUAACUUAUCAUUUUUAACCUUUCAGGUCGAACAACCUCUUCAUGUUUACCAUGAUCCAG